CAGAAGCCUCUUCAUCAUUCCCCUCAUCAACCAAUGCUGAACUGAACUUAUUACCACCCUUCUUGGUGGACUUGGAUGACUUCUUUUUACCUGAGAAAGUAAUGGCAGCAACAUCUUCAUCCUCAUCCUUUUCCUCCUCAUUGUCAUCUAACACAUCAAAACUAGCUGCCGCAAAACCCACUACCACCACCCUUCUUGCCACCCUUGGAGGAUUUCUUUUUCCCAGUAAACUCAACAGCUGGCAUAUCAUCACCACCAUUCUCAACUUUAUCAACCACAUCACCUUCAUUAUCAUCAUCAGGCAGAUCAGCUGCAGCACUAAACAAACUAGUGCCACUCUUGUUAUCCUUCUUUGAUGCUUUUUUCUUUCCAGUAAAGCUCACAACCGGUUCAUCCUCUACGUCACUAUCUUUAUCACCUGUUAAGUCAGACUUCUCCUCCUCAUCAUUAUCUUCAUCUCCAAGUAACCCAAAGCUUGAUGCUGAAAACACACUGUCACCCCCACUCCUCUUUCCUUUCUUCUUCUUUGCUGCAAAGACAAUCUCCUGCACUUCUUCAUCCUCUUCCACAUCCUGCUUUUCCUCAUCCUCCUCUUUAGACUGCAAACCUUUUUUAUUCCCCUUUUUGCCCUUCUUCUUCCCGGCAACCUCAACUUUCUCCUCCUGAAUUUGAG
rnacentral:misc_RNA from 1 species